AUUGAACGCUGGCGGAAUGCUUUACACAUGCAAGUCGAGCGGCAGCACGGGGGCAACCCUGGUGGCGAGCGGCGAACGGGUGAGUAAUACAUCGGAACAUGCCCAGUCGUGGGGGAUAACACUUCGAAAGAAGUGCUAAUACCGCAUACGUCCUGAGGGAGAAAGCGGGGGAUCUUCGGACCUCGCGCGAUUGGAGUGGCCGAUGUCAGAUUAGCUAGUUGGUGGGGUAAAGGCUCACCAAGCCAACGAUCUGUAGCUGGUCUGAGAGGACGACCAGCCAACCUGGGACUGAGACACGGCCCAGACGCCAACGGGAGGCAGCAGUGGGGAAUUUUGGACAAUGGGGGCAAGCCUGAUCCAGCCAUGCCGCGUGCGGGAAGAAGGCCUUCGGGUUGUAAGGCUCUUUCGGCAGGAACGAAACGGCGAGCUCUAACAUAGCUUGCUAAUGACGGUACCUGAAGAAGAAGCACCGGCUAACUACGUGCCAGCAGCCGCCGUAACAC
rnacentral:rRNA from 1 species